ensembl:lncRNA
CACAGGCACGUUGCUGCAGGCUAAUCCCUUCCAUGAUGUGAGUGUGCUUGGUGCCUUCAAAUCCAAAACCCAAAUUCCUACUGGAAGCCUCUAAUCUUAGUAGUCUCUUUGUUUUUAUGUCACCACAACUGGUGCUUUAAAGGCCAAUAAAGUUACUGGGAGAUGGUUCAGUGACUAAAAGCACUGUAGUUAUCUUACAAAAUGAAUCUGUAAAACGAACCUGAACUUUUCCAAAUACCCUAUUAAAACUGCUCUAUAGAUUAAAGGCUGUGUGAACCACUAUAAGGGAACAGUUACAUCAUGGCCUGGACUGAUGACUGAGCACCAGGUGAGCAGGAUGACUGGCCCAGGAAGCACAAGUGGAAGCAAUUCACCUGUUCUUACCACAUGACUGAAAGGAGUGGACUGACCUGUGAGUCUCACCAGUCUCACCUCGGGAAGAUCGUGGAACAGAUCCUCCUAGAAGCUAUGCUAAGGCACAUGGAAGGCAGGGAACUGAUAUAGAAGAACCAGCAUGGCUUCACCAGGGGCAAAUCCUGUUUAACCAAUCUGGUGGUCUUUUGUGAUAGUAUCAUUGCAUGAAUGGACAAGGGAAGGGCCAUUGAUAUCAUCUAUUUUGACUUUAAUAAGGCCUUUGACACAGUACCUCACAACACCCUUCUCUCCAUGUUAGAAAGAUAUGGAUUUGAUGGUUGGACUGUUUGAUGGAUGAAGAACUGGCUGCAGAAUCGAGUCCAGAGCAUGUCCACAGAAGAGCUACAGAAAUGAUCCAUGGAAUGGAACACCUUCCCUACGAGGACAGGCUUAGAGAGCUGGGGCUGUUCAGCCUGGAGAAGAGAAGGCUGCAAGGUGACCUGAUAGCAGCCUUUCAGUUUAUAAAGGACUGCAGGCUGCCUUAAAGCCACAGCUGGUAACAGCAUAUAACAUCUUUGUUGAAGAACAUGUCACAUCUCCUCAGUGAACAGAACCGAUGAAGUUUGGAGAAGCCCCUCCUCUUCCUCUGAUAUCAAGCUAACUGCCUUAGAUGUAAUGGACUCUGCCAGCGGAUCAGAAAAUAAAAACAACGGAAGAGAAGAAAGAUGCCAAAUGUUUUUGAGGUUCUCUCCAGCAGUGAAAUGAAUGAUUUUAGUCAAAUGUGCAUUGUGGAUGCUGGAUGGAUACGUCAGCCAGAUCUUUGGGCAUGUGAAUCUCUGUACAUCUACACAUCUCGCGUCUUCCCUUCUUCUUGCCUCAAGUUUGGAGUCCACUUUCAAGCUGCAACCUAACAUUCAUCCACUUCUUCAAUAGCCUUUCUCCAGCCUCUUUGGAAAAGCAGACCCUUUGUACAGUGAUUGAAACUGAACUUACAUCUCCCAGUCUUGUGUUUUAUAAGUGAAUGCCAUGAGCAAACAAAUCCUAAACUGAGGCUCAGACCAAGAAGACCUGGACUAUUAAAAUCUCUCAUUGUGGAAAUUCAGAAUUAGACACACAUCAUCUCUAGUACUGAACAAUCAGGACCUUCUAAGUAAGAUUAUGCUCAGAAUUUUAUUCAGACAUCUGGGGGAGAACAUCCUUUAACUACAUGUAACAUCUUUGGUUUUGAAUAAUAAGUCCUUUAAAGCAGGUACCGAGCAUAAAUUAUCAUCUAUUAUCAAACAUAAGUUUCUCUAUACCAGCUUUCAUAGUGCAUCUGUUAAAUAAAUGUCCAUUAUUGCUUCUUUUUAGUAGGUAAGCUUUAUAGUAUUUUCCUUUAGCUGAAAUCUAUAUUCAAAUUAAUUAAGUAUUUCAGAUGAAUAAAGGCUGAACAGUUAAAGAAAUCUACAAGCUUUCCAGGGAUUUUAAAUGCUUUUAAUGCAACUUCCUUUUGAAAGGAAGGAAGAAGAAAAGGAUCACCAAAUACUUGAAUAUUUGGAGAAAAAAAAAAAAAAAAAAAAAAGGAAGAUGACAGGUGUAUGAGCAGAAAAAAAGUCUUGUACUGGAGAGUGCUGGGAGAUACUACAUAGAAAUUAUAGGUUUUGUUUGUCAAAGGAGAUAUUAAAAUUUCACCGUAUUUUUUUUAAUACAGGCUCAAAGUCAAUAGCUUUAAAGCAACUCUGAAAGUGAACUCUGGCUAUAGACAGUAUGUUGCUAUGGAAUGGUUUCCACUGCUCAUUAGAAAAAGUUUGUUGCUAUUGCUACAUAGUGUAUCAAAACUGAGUAACUAGUAGUGCUUAGUUCAUCAACAUACAAACUAAUAUGAAUAAAUGAAGGUCAUAUUAUUUCUUGCAAUUGUUUCCUUCAAGCAACAGUUAAGUCCUUCCUGGCUUUUAGGAGAGUACAGAAUUGUAAUUCAGAACAUAAACUUUUUCUUUGCCCUAAGUGUGACUAAAAUUGAAAAUAUUUGAUUUAUUUGUGUCUAUAUUAGUGUCCUGAAUCAGUAACUUGUGGGUAAUAUGUAAAGUAUUUUUCAGUGAGACUCACCACCAUGACUCAGUCAAAG